rnacentral:misc_RNA from 1 species
UGGAAAUGCACUGACACACCCAAUUUACCCAAAUAUCAGAAAAACCCAUUCGUCUCAUGACAGCAAUAAGAAAAUGACAAUUAACAGAAUUAUAAACUUUAUGGAUAUCUAACUUUGUCGCCAUUGCUCAUGUACUGCCCUUCUUUAUAUUCCUUAAUCCAUGGAACUGUUCAUGAGCCAUACAAAUAUUGUCUUGAAUAUUUCUCCCUGGAACAAAAGCCACUUGAUUAGGAGAGAUAAUCUCUUGCAACCAAGGUUUCAGAUUGUUAGCUAAUAUUUUAGAAAUAACCUUGCAGACGUAAUUACA